GACGAACGCUGGCGGCGUGCCUAACACAUGCAAGUUGAGCGACGAACCAGGGCUUGCCCUGGGGCAAAGCAGCGAACGGGUGAGUAACACGUGGGUAACCUACACCGAUGACCGGGACAACCCGAGGAAACUCGGGCUAAUACCGGAUGUGCUCUCUGAACUUCGGUUCAGUGCGUAAAGGAAGCUUCGGCCACCGCAUCGGGAGGGGCCCGCGGCCCAUUAGUUUGUUGGUGAGGUAACGGCUCACCAAGACCGCGAUGGGUAGCUGGUCUGAGAGGACGAUCAGCCACACUGGGACUGAGACACGGCCCAGACUCCUACGGGAGGCAGCAGUGGGGAAUCUUGCGCAAUGCGCGAAAGCGUGACGCAGCAACGCCGCGUGGGGGAAGAAGGCCUUCGGGUUGUAAACCCCUUUCAGGAGGGACGAAGGUUCGGCGGUGAAUAGCCGUCCGGACUGACGGUACCUCCACAAGAAGCCCCGGCUAACUACGUGCCAGCCGCCGCAGUAAGAC
rnacentral:rRNA from 1 species